rnacentral:rRNA from 1 species
AGAGGUUUUGAUUCCUGGCUCAGGAUGAACGCUAGCGGCAGGCUUAACACAUGCAAGUCGAGGGGGCGAUCGGGAGGGGAAGGCUUUGCUUUUCCUUUGCCGGCGGACCGGCGCACGGGUGAGUAACACGUAUGCAACCUGCCCUCUUCAGGGGGACAACCUUCCGAAAGGGAGGCUAAUCCCGCGUAUAUCGGUUUCGGGCAUCGAGAUCGAGGAAAGAUUCAUCGGAAGAGGAUGGGCAUGCGGCGCAUUAGCUUGACGGCGGGGUAACGGGCCCACCGUGGCGACGAUGCGUAGGGGUUCUGAGAGGAAGGUCCCCCACACUGGUACUGAGACACGGACCAGACUCCUACGGGAGGCAGCAGUGAGGAAUAUUGGUCAAUGGGAGAGAUCCUGAACCAGCCGAGCCGCGUGAGGGAAGACGGCCCUAUGGGUUGUAAACCUCUUUUGUCGGAGAACAAAGCCCGGGACGUGUCCCGGACUGCGUGUAUCCGAAGAAAAAGCAUCGGCUAACUCCGUG